rnacentral:lncRNA from 1 species
AUGUCUCUGAAAAAACACACAAGAAAAGAAAAAGUAAAGCCCAGCUCUCCUCUUCUGGCUCAAGAAGACAAUAUUCAAGUACAGAAGAUGUGCUUGGAAGAGAUGCAUGAGGAAAAUCUCAUGAACAACCGCAAUACAAAACACCCGCCCCAGCCAGAGUACAUCUAUUAUGUCUGGCAGAGUUUUUUUGAACAGCGAAAGCAGAUUAUCUUCCUCAGACAAGAAAAUGAGAGAAAGAGCGCUGAAGUCAAUAAAUUGUUCAGCCAGCUUCUUGAAAAGGAAGAUAUUCAAAAGGAGAAAGAAAUGGAACUCCUAGACGUGCGUGGAAGGAACUUUGAGCUCAAAGCAAAGCUUGAUAAAGCAAUAGAAAAACUCAAAGAAAUCCUCCAGCAGAAGAAAAAUGAGAAAGACAAGGACAAAAAGGAUCGGGAGCUGCAAUUAAAGCUUGAUGAAGCUCUGCAAAAAAAUACAGAAAUCCUCCAAGAGAAGAAACGGCAGGACAUAGAACUCCAAAACUUGGGGAUCAAAUACAAAGCAUUGCUUCAAGAGAAAAAGCAACAACCGAUCAAACAGAAAGAAAGCAAGCUUGAAGACUCGGAGGAAAACUACAGAGAGCUGAAAACAAAGCUUGAUAAAGCACUGCAAAGAAAUAACCAGAUUCUUCAAGAAAAAGAACAACUGGAAAGAAACCAGAGAGACAUGCGGUGCCAACUCCAAAGCAUGGAGGAAAAAUGCCGAGUCCUGGAAGUAAAACUUGAUAAAACUGCAGUGCACAAGCAGAAAUAUCAAGAGCUGCUUCAAGAGAAAGAACAACAGGACAUAAAGCAGAAAGAAGACAAACGUUUACUCCAAGGCUUUGAGAGGGAAAACCAAAAGCUGCAAGAACUUUACAAGAAAAUGAACUACAAAGCAACUGAAAUGGAAGGAGAGAAGGAGAAACUGCGAAAACAGUGCUCAGCGAUGCAGAGUCAGCUCAAUGACAUGCUGACAAAAAACACCAAACUCGAGGAACUUUCAAACACCUUGAAGUGCAAAAACACUGAGGUGCAGGUGCUAAAGCAGCAACUCCAGAAAACAAAUGAAGACCUGCAGUGCAAACUUGAAGAAAUGGAGAGGAAAAGUCAACAGUUAGAAGACACUCACAACAAAUCACAAGAGCGUUAUACAGAGAUGCAGGAGGCAAAGGUAAUGCAGGAGGCAACUUCUAAUGAGUUGAAAGAAAGGCUCAAAAACAAACAAGCCGAAUUAGAAGAAGUGGAGAAAACAUGCAGGAGACUUGAGAAGGAGAAUACAGAAACAAUCGAUCAGCUGAGAAACCUGAUCCUAGAGAAAAAGGUUCUCGUGGAAAAGCUCCUGGAAAAGAAGAAGAAACGCUUCCGCUUCUUCUGGAGGAAGGACACUCAUGCUUUGUCUGGUUUUUCCACUGCUGAUGUCACCUCGUCUUCCUCCACCUCUGUUCCAUCGUAA